ACUUGUACAACGGGAUAGACCACGAAAUUAUAUCCGUCAAUGUGUAAGAGUUUCUAAAUAUUCAGUAAACAUUAUGGCGUUGACGACUAAAUUUCUCUUACUAGUUAUAGCUUUAGUGUGUAGUGUUGAUGCCUAUAAAAUAUUGGUGGUUGUGGCUCUUCCUGGCAAAAGUCAUGGAAUACUGGGAGACGGCGUUGUUAGACAUCUAACAAAUGCAGGACAUGAAGUCACAUACAUCACAGCGUAUCCACCCAAACACCCACCAAAUAACACGAAAGUUAUUGAUGUGAGUGACAAUAACGCAACUUUUAAUGGAGAACUACUUAAUUUACAAAACAUGAUGGGCAGAAAAGCAGAUAUGAAUUCGAUGUAUAUAAUAAUGGACACAUGCGUAGAAAUAUUCAAAUUGACAGUUGCAAAUCGUAAUGUGCAAAAUAUGCUUCGUGAUCCAACACAAAAGUUUGAUGUAGUUAUAUCUGAGUGGUUGUACUCUGAACUAUAUGCGGGAUUCGCAGCUGUAUAUGAUUGCCCUAAUAUAUGGUUAUCAACUCUGGAGCCUCAUUGGAUGGUUUUAAGAUUAUUAGAUGAAAUACCAAACCCAGCAUAUAUGCCUGAUUCUUUAUCCAGUAAAUCCCCAC